AAGACAUUAGUAAACAUAUUACACCACCUUGUCAAGGUAGAGUUGCAGGUUAAAAUCCUGCAUGUCUUA
rnacentral:tRNA from 1 species